CGUCAUCCUCCAGCCUUUGUGUCGUUGGACGUGCGUGCGUGCGUGCGUGACGUAGUCAAGCUUGUGUGUCUGUCACAGAGCGAAAGAGGCUUGCGUCGUAUUAAAUUCUCCUCUGAAGUUUAUCUGGCUGAUCUUCUAUCUGGACCUGAGAGAUGAAGAAGGCACAAUCGCUCCUUUUCCAAGCGUUGACCGUGCUUGGCAUUUGGGCUUCGCUUGGUGAGUUCACGUUUUUAUUUGACUUCAAGGUGCCUCACUGCAAACGUUGUUGGGACUGGAUUUGUUUCUUCAGAUCAUUAGGGGAUCAAUAUAAAAGGGCAUUUUAUUGGCCCCACCUCGGGGAAAUGUAUACUUGUCAGAUUACUAGACAUAUUAAGCAAACUGUCAGUCUCAUUUGAAACAAUGGAAACAAUACGUUAUACAUCCGCGGUUUUGAGACACUUUCUGAUCCGACUGUGAACUUUUGAAAAAAGGGUGUAGUAAAGCCUAUUUAAAACUAACGACUGACUUUAAGCAUUGAUAUGCCACUCAUUUAACUCACUGACCGCCACUGACUGAAAACCUGAAACAUUCACUUCGGUUUGCCUUGGAAGGCUGCAAAUGGAUUGGACGUCUAGCACCGUCAUUGGCACAGAAACGGCACUUCUUUCCUGGACUUGGUGGGCUUGGACUUGGUGCUGAUGUGGAUAAGUUCGCUGUAAAAUGACACAUUUCAAAGACAACCCUAUGCUGAGAGCUACAAACUCUUUUGUGAACAAGUGAUCCGUCAAAGGAUUAUCGUUGACAAAGAAGUGCUCAGAAUGGACAAGCCAAGAAGGUUGUUCGUGAACAUCGUGAAGAACCAUGAGGAUCUUGAUGCUUCAGACUACAGGCGGGAUAUGCUGAAAAGAAGAUUGAAGUGUGAUUUCCCCCAAUUAGUUUUUUAUGGGGAGAGAUUUGUCUCAAAAAUAUUCUCACAAAUGCUUUCGCGAUUCACACAUAUCUUUUGUAGAUGCACAAAUAUAUCAGAGAUUUUCACAUGUAUUUUCGAGAUCCACAAAUAUAUCCAUGAGUUUCACAUGUGUUUUUGUAAUUCACAAGUAUAUCCUCGAAAUUCACAUGUGUUUUUUUUUAUGUAGUGCGUGCACUCAUCAUGAAUUAUUGUUUGUAAGCAUUCGAAUUGUAUAUGGGAAUCAGCGGCCGAGUGCAUUUAUUUUUGAGACAAACAUAACAAGAAACGGUCAAAUUUUCUCACACAAGCGCAUUCGCGAUUCACACUUGUGUUUUUCGAAUUCACAAAUACAUCCGCGAUUCUCACAAAUACAUUAGUGAUUUUCACACGUGUUUUUCAGAUCCACAAAUACGUCCGCGUUUUCCUCGUGUGUUUUUUAAAUCCACAAAUACUUCCGCAAAUGUCGCAUGUUUUUUUUAAUGAUGUGCGCGCAAUUAUCAUGACUUGACAUUUUUUAAGCAUUCAGUUUUGCUUGUGAAUUGCUGGAGCUGUGUUUUUUUUGUUUUUGUUUUUUUUUUUAAACAGCGAACACGCGCAUUUCUUUUUGAGACAAACGUCACUCGAUGUUUCACCAAGAUUUUCUCACACACAGUAAACCAAGAAUUUUCACGUGUCUCAAAUAACCUCCGCCUCAGUCCGAUAGGCGGCAGUAUUGAGCGCAUAGAAAGGUCAAAAGUGCCCAUCAACACAGAUGGCAAAUGGUGUUCUACUUAUGUAGCGCUUUUCCACCUUUCAAGGCGCUCAAAGCGCUUUACACUACAUCGCCAUCUACAUACAGGUGACGCAGCACCAGGAGCAAUGUGGGGUUCAGUAUCUUGCUCAAGGAUACUUAGGCGAGUUCAUCAGGGCAGAGAAUUGCACAACCUCUGGGUUGGGGGACAACUACUCUACCGCAGAGCCACGCCAUCCCCAUCCCCAGAUCACAUACGGACACCUAGCGGGUGACAUUACACCGGGCAACAGAUAAACAGGUGUCUUGGGUCCGUUGGAAAACCUACCCUAUUCCAUUUUUUGUUUUUAUGUGUGUUAAUAAAAAAAAAAAAAAAAAAAAAGAGAAAUGAAUCAUCUCCCGUUUCCCAAUUAAAAACUGCUAAUUCAAUAACGGAAACGAGACUUAAUCCAUUUUACCAAUUAAUGGUUUUGAGCUGAAGUCGAAAAACAAAAUAUGUCCAAUAUUUGUUUUUAUUAACAAAAAAAAAAAAACAACAGCACAAAUAUGCCAGGGGGUUAUAAACAUUUCAAACAUUGCACAUCAGGAAAAUAACAAAACAAAACAAAAACAAAAAAACAAUGAAUAAUGCUGUGAGCAAUUAUUCACAAAGAGAUUCAAGUUUUUCCACAAAUAUUGUUAUUUUCCGCUUUUAGAUUAUUUGAUUUUUUAAACAGAUUUAUGUAGCACACAGUCUCGUUAUGAAAGUGAGAAAAAGAAGGUAACAGCUUGCUAAAUUUACAUUUGUGUAGGUAGAAUUUCGACAAAAUGACAAGAUUAAUAAUAGAAACAAUCUCUUUCUUGAGAUUCUUAUAGAAACAAAAACAAAAAAGACAUUUUCCCAUUUGAGUUUGAAGUCCACAUGUGUAGGCUCCUGAUUCUGAACUUGCAAAGUUCUUUCCAAAAUUUAUUGGAAAAAGAGCAGGUCCAAAAAAGGUGCUGAACUGUCUCUGUAUCAAUGUCCCACUUUAAUUUUUUUCAUGUAGUGGUUUGCAGGAUAGUACUUAUCUAUAGAUAAUUUUGAAAGCGACUUCUUUGACCUUACUUGUCAACCGAAACAUAUUGGGGAUAGUCCAUACUUAGGCGUGGACCAAAUGAUAUCUCCAAAAAGACUUAACAUAUGCUUUGGAUCUAAUCUCGUUCUGAAAUAGAGAUCGAGUAUAUCUAUUCAAAUUUUUGUUAUGUAGUAAACAUAAUUUCCCCACACUUGAAUUUAGUAUAUUUGGAGGAGAUAAAGUUUGAAAUGGCAUGUUUACAUUUCUGCACAGCAUAAUGAAUCCUGAAGGAAUCGCAUCAUCAACACUAGCAUAUUGCUUAGGUCUAACUGGUAACUGAAAAUAAUCCCAAAACUCCGCGUAAAACAUAGGUGCCAUUAAAAAGUUGUGACACAAAAAGUGUCUUCUGCCUCUAAUUGUCCAAAAAUAAAGAUUUGUUUUUGCAAAGAAUUCAAUGAGCCAUGACCCGGAAGACGAGGCCUUAUUGAAGAAAAACAUCGUUUUCCGGUUCAAGGCUCAUUGUAAAAGCGAACUCGGAGGAAAACAAAUAUUGGUCGUAUUUUGUUUUUCGACUUCAGUUCAAUAAAUUGACAUUGUAAAAACGGAUUAAGGUUCGUUUUUCGUUUUUUAUUUUCCAAAAUUAGAAGGAAAAACAAACGGCCUCAAGGUACACGGACAGUCUUGAUAGUUCUUGAAGUUUGGGAAUCAUACUUUUAUAGUCUAUGCGCUCAAAACUGCCACCUAUCAGAUGAAGGCGGAGGUUAUUUGAGACACGUGAAAAUUCUCGGCUUACUGUGUGUGAGAAAAUCUUGGUGAAACAUCGAGUGACGUUUGUCUCAAAAAGAAAUGCGCGUGUUUGCUGUUAAAGAACACAGCUCCAGCAAUUCACAAGCAAAAUUGAAUACUUAAAAAAUGUCAAGUCAUGAUAAUUGCACGCACAUCAUUAAAAAACAUGCGAAACUUGCGGAAGUAUUUGUGGAUUUGAAAAACACUUGUGGAAAACGCGGACGUAUUUGUGGAUCUGAAAAACGCGUGUGAAAAUCACUCAUGUAUUUGUGAGAAUCGCGGAUGUAUUUGUGAAUUUGAAAAACACGUGUGAAUCGCCAAUGCACUUGUUCUUGUUAUGUUUGUCUCAAAAAUAAAUGCACGCGGCCGCUGAUUCACAAAUACAAUUCGAAUGUUUGCAAACAAUAAUUCAUGAUGAGUGCACGCACAACAUUAAAAAACACAUGUGAAUUUCGAGGAUAUAUUAGUGGAUUACAAAAACACAUGUGAAACUCAUGGAUAUAUUUGUGGAUCUCGAAAAUACAUGUGAAAAUCUUGGAUAUAUUUGUGCAUCGACAAAAGAUAUGUGUAAAUCGCGAAAGUAUUUGUGAGAAUAUUUUUGAGACAAAUCUCUCCCCAUAGUUUUUCACACCCCUUUCCAGCGCAACAUGUCUGAAAUGUUUUUUUUGUUUUUUUUGUUGGAGACUUUAUCAUCAACAGACAAACUUUUAGACAGGAUACCUCAGUCAUCAGGUACAUCAGCUACCGACUCUACUGAGAACAAAGAAGGACACUUUACAGUGCAGGGCUGCUAUUGAGGACCAUUCUAAGCGAAUCACCCUCACUGAAAUGCCCAUGGCCUCCCACAGCAGAAGAUUUAAAUGUAUGUGAAGCGAAAGCUGUUGUGCCUGUUGAACAGUACAAUCGAUUGGUGCAACAGAAGAACCAACACUAGCCGGCAAAAGGGCAAACUACGAGGCAGCAGUAAUGCGACAUUGUCUGACUGGUAUGAUGUGUGCCCCUUCACCAAUUGGCAAUGGAUGGGACAUUGAGGAUGGUGAAUUAACAGUAAAAUGGAUGACUAGAAAUCCUGCCCCAGAUAGUGUGCUACAGGUAAUCCACUGUGGUUGCAAGAUAAGCAAGUGUGAGACUGAAAGAUGUUCAUGCUUGUCUGCAAAAAUGUCCUGUACAGAUUUAUGCCACUGCCAGGACUGUGAAAAUAUUUCAAAGGAAAUGGGAUGAUGACACUGAUGAUACUGAUAUUGAUGAGUAAUCACCCACCAUCUCUCCUAUGUUUAGUUUCAUUAUCAAAAUGUUACUCUCCAUUUUAACACCUUUAAAACAACAACAAAAAAAGGCUCUUUUCCCUUUUCCAAAAAAAUAGACCUUUGUUCAAUUUGACUGCCAAAAAAGAUGGAUGUUCCAAUGAA